rnacentral:ncRNA from 2 species
CCUUUGCAACGCGUUUAAGGUUUGCCCGGUAACACGGGCGAUUAAAAGGGAACACCGGUGCAAAUCCGGGGCUAUUCCCGUAGCUGUAAGCUCUUUUUCCAGUCGGCAACACAAAGGCCACUGCCCCUCGGGUGGGAAGGCGUUGUCGGUAGAGCGAGCCAGAAGACCUGCCUCAAACGAAUUCAUGAU